rnacentral:piRNA from 1 species
UCUCCUGUAAACAGGAAGUGUCCCAGUCU